ensembl:lncRNA
GCUGAUUUCAUUUUUGUCUUUGCUCAAUACAAAUUUCACCAGAUUGGGUCUGCUGGAUUGUUUCGAUACCCCCAUGUGUUAGGAUGCUGGUAACUCUUCCGAGAGAUCGCCAGUAACAUAAGAGAGUAUGAACUAAUUUUGAAAAUGGUUUCAACAACAACAGUAUGUUGUUAUGCUCUUUGACAUUUGUUGUAGAGAUAAUGUUAUUAAGACAAUUGGGAAUGUAAUAAUUUGUCAUAUAGUCAAUGUUUGUAUGGAUUUCCUGAAACAGAAAUUAAUUGAACUAAACUGUUGUUCUGAUCUGAUCUGAGCUAAAAUAGAACUCCUUUCUAUUUCCGACGCAGAUCGCGCUGAAAGUCCUGCCUCUCCCAUCUCCUCAUUGGUUUAUAGAAGCAGGUACCCACGUGCCAUCUCCUCAUUGGUUAUACCCACGAGUGAUUGAAAGACGAACUGUUUUGCCGGUAGUCGUGGUAAUACUAUGGAAGUUUAGAUGCCAAUCACCAUAUAAGUUCAAAGAUGAAAAAGCCUGGAACGAGGAGAGAUGACUAGAAAUGAUUCGGUUAGCCGUUUUAUGUGUGGAUUAAUUGGCAGAGGAGAGGAGCUUGUGCAUUUCAGACUCUGUGGAAGAACCUUUAAACUGGCUUUAAAAAGAGAGAAUGCUGAGAUCAGAAGAGAGCGAUUUACUAAUGGUGGUGGACCACCAAAAAAAGACAAGACUGAUGAAUUGAGUGACUUGCUGUCUGGAAUAAUAGAGCACCAGCAACCUCUGGAUGGUAUACCACAUGAUGACUAACCUCUGGAUGGUAUACCACAUGAUGACUAACCUCUGGAUGGUAUACCACAUGAUGACCAACCUCUGGAUGAUAAUUUCAGAUGAAGAACUGAGCACAAAUGGUACAUAUACCAAAGAAAGUAAAUUGGUUACUUCCUUUGGUAAAUAUACUCCACUGUCUGUGUUAAUCUGUAUUCUUCUUUCAUUCUAAGGACCAUAUGAGUUUAUUUGUGUUUCUAACAGUGUUAUUUUUCCAGAGGAAAGGAAUCUGAAAUGGUUGGAAGAGCCAGUGCACAGUGAGUGUGUACCCUCUACAUCUGCUUUAGCAUCCCUGAGAAAAGAUUCUGCCACCACCUUUCAGCAGAGAACAAAAAAUAUGACCAUGCAUGAAAAGUUACCCAGAGAAUUUCAUGAGCAUAAAAUGAAAUAUCUGAAGGAAGAACACGAAAAUAAAAUGAGAAUUCUACAGGUUGAAUUGGAUAUGAAGUUGGAAGAGAGAGGUAUGAUCCAAAAAAGAUACAGUAAU